rnacentral:rRNA from 1 species
CUGAUCAGCCAUGCCGCGUGAGUGAUGAAGGCUUUCGGGUUGUAAAGCUCUUUCACUAGGGAAGAUAAUGACGGUACCUAGUAAAGAAACCCCGGCUAACUUCGUGCCAGCAGCCGCGGUAAUACGAAGGGGGCUAGCGUUGUUCGGAAUUACUGGGCGUAAAGGGUACGUAGGCGGUUGGACAAGUCGAUUGUGAAAGCCCCAGGCUCAACCUGGGAACUGCCUUCGAAACUGUUUAACUAGAGUACGUUCGAGGACAGUGGAAUUCCUAGUGUAGGGGUGAAAUUCGUAUAUAUUAGGAGGAAUACCGGUGGCGAAAGCGACUGUCUGGGCCAUUACUGACGCUGAGGUACGAAAGCGUGGGGAGCAAACAGGAUUAGAUACCCUGGUAGUCCACACCGUAAACGAUGAAUGCUAGUCGUCGGGAUCUUAGAUCUCGGUGGAGAAGCUAACGCGUUAAACCCUCCGCCCGGGGACUACCGGCGCCAGGAUAAAACU